AGAGAGAGAGAAAGAGAGAAAGAAGGAAAGAAAGAAAGAAAGAAAGAAAGAAAGAAAGAAAGAAAGAAAGAAAAAAGAAAAAAGAAAAACGUUAGAGGAGCUUGAAAUAGAGGGAAGCAAAAAUAAGAAAGUAUGGGAUAGAGAAAGAAAGGGUGAGAUAUUGUGCCUGUAUUGACGGUGGUGUGAUUGUGGUUGCAGUGUAGUUGUGUUGAUGGUAGCAAUAUCAGUAGUAGUAGUAGUAGUGUAGUAGUAGUAGUAGUAGUAGUAGUAAUAUAGUAGUAGUAGUA